UACAGAGGGGUCAGGCGUUGUUCGGAAUUACUGGGCGUAAAGGGCGCGUAGGCGGCCUGUUAAGUCGAACGUGAAAUCCCCGGGCUCAACCCGGGAACUGCGUCCGAUACUGGCAGGCUUGAAUUCGGGAGAGGGAUGCGGAAUUCCUGGUGUAGCGGUGGAAUGCGCAGAUAUCAGGAGGAACACCAAUAGCGAAGGCAGCUCGCUGGGACGGUACUGACGCUAAGGCGCGAAAGCGUGGGGAGCGAACAGG
rnacentral:rRNA from 1 species